CCUACGGGAGGCAGCAGUAGGGAAUCUUCCACAAUGGGCGCAAGCCUGAUGGAGCAACACCGCGUGAGUGAAGAAGGGUUUCGGCUCGUAAAGCUCUGUUGUUGGAGAAGAACGUGCGUGAGAGUAACUGUUCACGCAGUGACGGUAUCCAACCAGAAAGUCACGGCUAACUACGUGCCAGCAGCCGCGGUAAUACGUAGGUGGCAAGCGUUAUCCGGAUUUAUUGGGCGUAAAGCGGGCGCAGGCGGUUGCUUAGGUCUGAUGUGAAAGCCUUCGGCUUAACCGAAGAAGUGCAUCGGAAACCGGGCAACUUGAGUGCAGAAGAGGACAGUGGAACUCCAUGUGUAGCGGUGGAAUGCGUAGAUAUAUGGAAGAACACCAGUGGCGAAGGCGGCUGUCUGGUCUGCAACUGACGCUGAGGCUCGAAAGCAUGGGUAGCGAACAGGAUUAGAUACCCCAGUAGUC
rnacentral:rRNA from 1 species